rnacentral:rRNA from 1 species
AAUGAACGUUGGCGGCGUGGAUUAGGCAUGCAAGUCGUACGGGUCGGUGUAGCAAUACAACGGCAAGUGGCGAAAGGGAGAGUAACACGUAGAUACCUACCCUCUGGUCGGGGAUACCGCGGCAUAACCGCAAGUAAUACCCGAUAAAAUCUCCGGAUCAAAGGUGUGAUUCCGCCGGCGGAGGGGUCUGCGUUGUAUCAGCUUGUUGGUGAGGUAAUGGCUCACCAAGGCUAAGACGGAUACGGGGUGUGAGAGCAUGCCCCCGCUCACUGGGACUGAGACACUGCCCAGACACCUACGGGUGGCUGCAGUCGAGAAUCUUCGGCAAUGGGCGCAAGCCUGACCGAGCGACGCCGCGCGCGGGAUGAAGGCCUUCGGGUUGUAAACCGCUGUCGAGGGGAAUGAAGUGCAAGUGAGUUAUCUCAUUUGUUUGACAGAUCCCUGGAGGAAGCAUGGGCUAAGUUCGUGCCAGCCGCCGCCGUAACAC